rfam:Corchorus capsularis cultivar CVL-1 contig09248, whole genome shotgun sequence.
UAGUCACUGCGAUGUUGGCUCGGUUCACUCAGACAACAUUAACAACCGCUACGCUUUCUCGAUUUGAUUCGAUUUUGCGUAGCUUUCAUGUGCUUUGAUUGAGCCGUGCCAAUAUCCUAGUGCCUUUU